UUCUACCCUCCACCGCCGGAUCUCAAGCUAUGCGGCAGUGCAGCUGGUAUUUCUUCUGCUGCCGACGAUUUUUUUACAGCGGCUCCGCUGUAACAGGAAGAACAGUCGAUUCUGGCUCAACUCCCUUCAAGAAAUACGAUGCCGUAGUGAUCGGUGGCGGCCACAACGGCCUGACGGCUGCUGCCUACCUCGCCCGCUCGGGCCUCUCCGUCGCAGUCCUAGAACGCCGACACCUCGUAGGUGGCGCCGCCGUCACUGAGGAGAUCGUUCCGGGAUUUCGCUUCUCGCGUUGCAGCUACCUCCAAAGCCUUCUGCGACCUUCCGUUAUCCGUGAGCUGGAGUUGGUGAGGCACGGGAUGAAGCUUCUCCGGCGGAGUCCAUCGUCUUUCACUCCGUGCCUUGAUGGCCGGAGUCUUCUUUUAGGCCCAGAUGUUGAUUUGAACUAUUCAGAGAUUGCGAAGUUUUCGAAGAAGGAUUCAUUGGCUUAUCCAAGAUAUGAGGAACAGCUCCUGAAAUUCUGUAAAUUCAUGGAUUCACUAUUGGAUUCACAUACUCCUGAAGUCAGGCGGGAUCCGACAUCUCUCAUGGCUCAAGUCAAGGAAAAAUUCAACCGGUCUGCAUUUUGGAGCCAUCUUCUCCAUCAAGCUUUGACAUUGGGACAAAAGGAUAUGUUGGAUUUCAUUGACCUUUUAGUUUCACCAGCAGCAAAGGUUCUAAAUAACUGGUUUGAGACUGAGAUUUUGAAGGCAACACUGGCCACUGAUUCCGUUAUUGGAAGCAUGGCAACUGUUUAUACGCCAGGUUCAGGAUAUGUCUUGCUUCAUCAUGUGAUGGGAGAAACUGACGGGGAACGUGGUGUUUGGUCGUAUGUUGAAGGUGGGAUGGGUUCAGUGUCAUUAGCUUUAAGCAAUGCUGCUUGUGAAGUCGGAGCUCAUAUUGUGACAAAUGCAGAGGUUGCUCAAGUUAUGGUUGAUGAGAAUACUGGGUCUGCGACUGGGGUAAUUUUGGCAGAUGGAAAAGAAGUUCAUAGUUCAGUAAUUUUGUCAAAUGCAACCCCAUAUAAGACGUUUAUGGAGUUAGUGCCUUCUGCUUUUCUUCCGGAAGAAUUUCUCCAAGCUAUAAAAAAUUGUGACUACAGCUCGGCGACAACUAAAAUUAAUGUUGCUGUCGAUAAGUUGCCUCAAUUUUGCUGUUGUGCGACUGAUAUGGAUGGGCCCGGGCCUCAACAUAUAGGUACUAUACAUAUUGGAUCUGAAAGCAUGGAAGAAAUUGAUUUAGCCUACCGUGAUGCUGUAAAUGGCAUACCAUCCAGGAGACCUCUCAUUGAAAUGACAAUUCCUUCAGUUCUUGACAAGACAAUUUCUCCUCCUGGUAAGCAUGUGAUAAAUCUUUUUAUCCAAUACACACCUUUCAAGCUUACAGAGGGCAACUGGGAAGACCCUACCAUUCGAGAAUCAUUUGCUCAAAGAUGUUUCUCCUUGAUUGAUGAAUAUGCACCCGGAUUCAGCUCAACAAUCAUUGACUAUGAUAUGUUGACUCCACCCGACCUUGAAAGAAUCAUUGGACUAACUGGUGGGAACAUCUUCCAUGGUUCAAUGAACUUGGAUUCUUUAUUCUUAAUGCGACCAGUCAAGGGCUGGUCAGAUUACAGGACGCCUCUAAAAGGUCUCUAUUUAUGUGGGAGUGGUGCACAUCCUGGAGGUGGUGUGAUGGGAGCUCCUGGGCGUAAUGCGGCCUCUGUUGUUCUUCAGGAUAUAAAAAGUUUGGCAAGGACUAUUUAAGGUGAAAAUCGCCUUAUCAAGUCUUAGGUGGAGGAGAAAGAAGUCAAAGAACGAACUCUCUAUGAGUGAGGUUGAUGGUGGCGAGCUUUUUGUGGGCGAGGUUGGUGGUGGUGAAUAGGCUUCAGACUUGCUCUGGUGAAUGGAGUCUCUGUGUACCGAACGCUCGGGGUUGUUCUUCAGAACCUCUCCAUGGUUUUUCCUUCCGAGUGUUUGCUCUGCCAACUGCUCAUGAUUAAACUUCCAAAUUCACCUCCAGAAAGCAAUUUUCAGUGCUUGUUUAUUAACUCUGUAGUUCUUUCUGUUCAUUUUUUAUUCUAUUUAAUAAGAUUUGCUUAUUGUCUUACGGGUACUUUUGCAAUGCUGAGCUAUCUAUUUAUUUCCAUGGAUAUCUUUUUAUUAUAACUGGUUGUCAAGAUUCUUGUUUAUUA